CCAGUAACGGCGAGUGAAGCGGCAACAGUUCAAAUUUGGAAUCUGGCCUCCUGACGGGGGCCCGAGUUGUAAUCUGCAGAGGGUGCUUCGGCGUUGGCCCCGGGCCAAGUCCCCUGGAACGGGGCGUCCUAGAGGGUGAGAAUCCCGUACCCACCCGGGUGUCCUUCGCCUUGUGAAGCCCCUUCGAAGAGUCGAGUUGUUUGGGAAUGCAGCUCCAAGCGGGAGGUAAAUUCCUUCUAAAGCUAAAUACCGGCCAGAGACCGAUAGCGCACAAGUAGAGUGAUCGAAAGAUGAAAAGCACUUUGGAAAGAGAGUUAAAAAGCACGUGAAAUUGUUGAAAGGGAAGCUCUUGCCCCCAGACUUGCCGCGGUGGCUCAGCCGCCCCCCCGGGGACGGUGGAACUCCCCCGCCGGCAGGCCAGCGUCGGUUCGGGCGGCCGGACAAAGGCCCUGGGAAUGUAGCAUCCUCCGGGGUGUGUUAUAGCCCGGGGUGCAAUGCGGUCAGCCCGGUCCGAGGGAUGCGUUCGCGAGGACGCUGGCGUAAUGGUUGCAAGCGACCCGUCUUGAAACACGGACCAAGGAGUCUAACAUCUGUGCGAGUGUUUGGGUGUCAAGCCCACGCGCGUAAUGAAAGUGAACGGAGGUGGGAACCCCCCUGGAGGGGCGCACCAUCGACCGAUCCUGAAGUCUUCGGAUGGAUUUGAGUAAGAGCAUAGCUGUUGGGACCCGAAAGAUGGUGAACUAUUCCCGGAUAGGGUGAAGCCAGAGGAAACUCUGGUGGAGGCUCGCAGCGGUUCUGACGUGCAAAUCGAUCGUCAAAUCUAGGAAUAGGGGCGAAAGACUAAUCGAACCAUCUAGUAGCUGGUUCCUGCCGAAGUUUCGUAAGUACAACGCUCCACCCGUCUCGGACCCCUCCCCCCGGCGGCCCCCCCUCCCCCCUAUCGUGAUGGACACGAUCGGGGUCGCCUACGGGGGUUUUUAGACUUCUUCUUCUUUUUACUGACACCCCGUCUAGCCUCAGGAUAGCAGUGACGUCUUCAGUUUUAUGAGGUAAAGCGAAUGAUUAGAGGCCUUGGGGUUGAAACAACCUUAACCUAUUCUCAAACUUUAAAUAUGUAAGAAGCCCUUGUUGCUUAGUUGAACGUGGGCAGUCGAAUGUACCGUCACUAGUGGGCCAUUUUUGGUAAGCAGAACUGGCGAUGCGGGAUGAACCGAAAGCGAGAUUAAGGUGCCGGAAUGCACGCUUAUCGGAUACCACAAAAGGCGUUAAUUGAUCUAGACAGCCGGACCGUGGCCAUGGAAGUCGGAAUCGGCUAAGGAUCGUGUAACAACUCGUGAGCCCCCAAUCUCUUCCCCUGUCCCCCUUCUGACCCCCAUCUUUCUUCCUCCACUAACCCUACCGUUCCGUAGACCGGCCGAAUCAAUUAGCCCUGAAAAUGGAUGGCGCUCAAGCGUGCUACCCAAAUCUCGCCGCCGGGGCAGGAUCGAUGCCCCGGCGAGUAGGCAGGCGCGGGGGUCGGUGACGAAGCCUUGGGGGUGACCCCGG
rnacentral:rRNA from 1 species